GAUGAACGCUGGCGGCGUGCCUAAUACAUACAAGUCGAGCGAACGGACGAGAAGCUUGCUUUCCUGAUGUUAGCGGCGGACGGGUGAGUAACACGUGGAUAACCUACCUAUAAGACUGGGAUAACUUCGGGAAACCGGAGCUAAUACCGGAUAAUAUUUUGAACCGCAUGGUUCAAAAGUGAAAGACGGUCUUGCUGUCACUUAUAGAUGGAUCCGCGCUGCAUUAGCUAGUUGGUAAGGUAACGGCUUACCAAGGCAACGAUGCAUAGCCGACCUGAGAGGGUGAUCGGCCACACUGGAACUGAGACACGGUCCAGACUCCUACGGGAGGCAGCAGUAGGGAAUCUUCCGCAAUGGGCGAAAGCCUGACGGAGCAACGCCGCGUGAGUGAUGAAGGUCUUCGGAUCGUAAAACUCUGUUAUUAGGGAAGAACAUAUGUGUAAGUAACUGUGCACAUCUUGACGGUACCUAAUCAGAAAGCCACGGCUAACUACGUG
rnacentral:rRNA from 1 species